CGCGGGGUGGAGCAAUUGGCAGCUCGUCGGGCUCAUAACCCGGAGGCUGGAGGUUCGAGUCCUCCCCCCGCAACCA
rnacentral:tRNA from 1 species